GACGGAGGAUGCAAGCGUUAUCCGGAAUGAUUGGGCGUAAAGCGUCCGCAGGUGGCAGUUCAAGUCUGCUGUCAAAGACCGGGGCUUAACUUCGGAAAGGCAGUGGAAACUGAACAGCUAGAGUAUGGUAGGGGCAGAGGGAAUUCCUGGUGUAGCGGUGAAAUGCGUAGAGAUCAGGAAGAACACCGGUGGCGAAGGCGGAUCUCUGGGCCUGUCCUGACGCUCAGGCGCGAAAGCUAGGGGAGCAAACAGG
rnacentral:rRNA from 1 species